AUUGAACGCUGGCGGCAGGCUUAACACAUGCAAGUCGAGCGGGGAAGGGUAGCUUACUACCUGACCUAGCGGCGGACGGGUGAGUAAUGCUUAGGAAUCUGCCUAUUAGUGAGGGACAACAUUCCGAAAGGAAUGCUAAUACCGCAUACGCCCUACGGGGGAAAGCAGGGGAUCUUCGGACCUUGCGCUAAUAGAUGAACCUAAGUCAGAUUAGCUAGUUGGUGGGGUAAAGGCCUACCAAGGCGACGAUCUGUAGCGGGUCUGAGAGGAUGAUCCGCCACACUGGGACUGAGACACGGCCCAGACUCCUACGGGAGGCAGCAGUGGGGAAUAUUGGACAAUGGGCGAAAGCCUGAUCCAGCCAUGCCGCGUGUGUGAAGAAGGCCUUUUGGUUGUAAAGCACUUUAAGCGAGGAGGAGGCUACUUAGAUUAAUACUCUAGGAUAGUGGACGUUACUCGCAGAAUAAGCACCGGCUAACUCUGUGCCAGCCGCCGCAGUAACAC
rnacentral:rRNA from 1 species